rnacentral:rRNA from 1 species
GACGAACGCUGGCGGCGUGCUUAACACAUGCAAGUCGAACGAUGAAGCUAGAGCUUGCUCUGGUGGAUUAGUGGCGAACGGGUGAGUAACACGUGAGUAACCUGCCCCGAACUCUGGGAUAACUGCUGGAAACGGUAGCUAAUACCGGAUAUGACCAAUGAAGGCAUCUUCUGAUGGUGGAAAGAAUUUCGGUUCGGGAUGGACUCGCGGCCUAUCAGCUUGUUGGUGAGGUAACGGCUCACCAAGGCGACGACGGGUAGCCGGCCUGAGAGGGUGAUCGGCCACACUGGGACUGAGACACGGCCCAGACUCCUACGGGAGGCAGCAGUGGGGAAUAUUGCACAAUGGGCGCAAGCCUGAUGCAGCAACGCCGCGCGAGGGAUGACGGCCUUCGGGUCGUAAACCUCUUUUAGUAGGGAAGAAGCGAAAGUGACGGUACCUGCAGAAAAAGCACCGGCUAACUACGUGCCAGCCGCCGCUGUAA